rnacentral:rRNA from 1 species
UACGUAGGGGGCAAGCGUUAUCCGGAUUUACUGGGUGUAAAGGGAGCGUAGACGGCGGUGCAAGCCAGAUGUGAAAGCCCGGGGCUCAACCCCGGGACUGCAUUUGGAACUGUGCUGCUAGAGUGUCGGAGAGGCAGGCGGAAUUCCUAGUGUAGCGGUGAAAUGCGUAGAUAUUAGGAGGAACACCAGUGGCGAAGGCGGCCUGCUGGACGAUGACUGACGUUGAGGCUCGAAAGCGUGGGGAGCAAACAGG